rnacentral:lncRNA from 1 species
CCCACCCCUCCUCCACUUAUUCUAACCCAAAACAUCUCAGGAUCUAGAAUAGUGGAUUUCCAUUUUUUUUUUCAGUUCGUCGGCCACAAAAAUCUUUAGCAGUGCAGGAAACAGUACAAAGAGCACAGAAAACAUGAUGUCCUUUCCUCUGUGGCUUCGCACUGACCCUGAGUUGUCUAUUGCCUGCAAAGCCGAAAGCUGCUGAUCUAGAACCGAGUAUCCCCUUACUGUUUGCUCUGCCACCCGAGAAGUUGCAUUAAAAUGGCAUCACGUUCCUUAACUCCAAACUGACUCGCCUUUCUCCACAUAACCUACUAACAACCCGUGCUCCAGAGCCUUUCGUAAAACCCUAUUCCCAGAACGACCACCCAAAACCAAAACACGGCCGGUUAAGACGCCUCGUUUUGCCACGGAUUCGAACAUGGAGCAAGCCCUUCACACAGAACACUGCCCAACCCACCUAUAAAUAGGCUCAAAGCUCCAGGCUCAGGAGACUGAGAGCUCCGCAUGAUCCUUGCAGCGUUCCCCAGCUUCACCUACAUAGGAGCCGUGCCGUAACACUGCUGGCUGGGCAGACACCGAGCUGCUGCUGUGGAGAGCACCGAGGGAGGGGAAAGAAAUAAAAAAAAUAGGAAAAAAAAAAUCACUGGGCAUAAACAGCUCUCCUCGGAAGAGAAACACCUCCCUCUCCGGAGGCCAGAGCCAGCCACGGACAGGCUGUCACGGCUCGGCCAUGACAGGAACAGCAGCCAGGGACAGGCCCUUCAGAGAAGGUUUAAUGGGGCCAGGGCCGAAUGGACGCUCAUGAAAGGAAUAACCGGGGAAUAACCGGCCGGGCAGGCACCGUGCGGAAGGAUGGACCCCCGCUCCUGGAGGCUGCGGGAUCCGGUGCUCCUCUGCGGCCGCGGCGUGUCUCCAGUGCUGGAAGAAGCAGAAAAACAGCACCAAAAAAAAAAAAUCCAAAACAACCAAAAGAAAAAUAAAAAUGAAAUAAGGCGUAAAAAGCCUUGUUUGUGUCGGACUGAGGAGGAGCAGAUGUGAGCGGUUCUGCCCGUGCGGGGUCGAUGCGGUGGUCGCUACCGCCGCGUUUAACUCCGCCAGUCGGUAGCGAAGCGAUUUCACCGUCCCGACCCGUCGCACCGCCGGCUCCCGACAGCCGGCUCUGUGCCGAGCUGCUGGAAGGAGCCGCUCCUAGGGA